ACGCUGGCGGCAGGCCUAACACAUGCAAGUCGAGCGGUAGAGAGAAGCUUGCUUCUCUUGAGAGCGGCGGACGGGUGAGUAAUGCCUAGGAAUCUGCCUGGUAGUGGGGGAUAACGUUCGGAAACGGACGCUAAUACCGCAUACGUCCUACGGGAGAAAGCAGGGGACCUUCGGGCCUUGCGCUAUCAGAUGAGCCUAGGUCGGAUUAGCUAGUUGGUGAGGUAAUGGCUCACCAAGGCGACGAUCCGUAACUGGUCUGAGAGGAUGAUCAGUCACACUGGAACUGAGACACGGUCCAGACUCCUACGGGAGGCAGCAGUGGGGAAUAUUGGGCAAUGGGCGAAAGCCUGAUCCAGCCAUGCCGCGUGUGUGAAGAAGGUCUUCGGAUUGUAAAGCACUUUAAGUUGGGAGGAAGGGUUGUAGAUUAAUACUCUGCAAUUUUGACGUUACCGACAGAAUAAGCACCGGCUAACUCUGUGCCAGCAGCCGCGGUAAUACAGAGGGUGCAAGCGUUAAUCGGAAUUACUGGGCGUAAAGCGCGCGUAGGUGGUUUGUUAAGUUGGAUGUGAAAUCCCCGGGCUCAACCUGGGAACUGCAUUCAAAACUGACUGACUAGAGUAUGGUAGAGGGUGGUGGAAUUUCCUGUGUAGCGGUGAAAUGCGUAGAUAUAGGAAGGAACACCAGUGGCGAAGGCGACCACCUGGACUAAUACUGACACUGAGGUGCGAAGCGUGGGGAGCAAACAGGAUUA
rnacentral:rRNA from 1 species